GUAGUAAUGGCGAGAAUAGUAGUGAGAGGGUAGUAGUAGUAAUGGUGAGAAUAAUAGUGAGAGGGUAGUAAUAGUAAUGGCGAGAAUAGUAGUGAGAGGGUAGUAAUAGUAAUGGCGAGAAUAGUAGUGAGAGGGUAGUAAUAGUAAUGGCGAGAAUAGUAGUGAGAGGGUAGUAAUAGUAAUGGCGAGAAUAGUAGUGAGAGGGUAGUAAUAGUAAUGGCGAGAAUAGUAGUGAGAGGGUAGUAAUAGUAAUGGUGAGAGUAGUAGUGAGAGGGUAGUAAUAGUAAUGGCGAGAAUAGUAGUGAGAGGGUAGUAAUAGUAAUGGCGAGAAUAGUAGUGAGAGGGUAGUAAUAGUAAUGGUGAGAAUAGUAGUGAGAGGGUAGUAAUAGUAAUGGUGAGAAUAGUAGUGAGAGGGUAGUAAUAGUAAUGGUGAGAAUAGUAGUGAGAGGGUAGUAAUAGUAAUGGUGAGAAUAGUAGUGGGAGGGUAGUAAUAGUAAUGGCGAGAAUAGUAGUGAGAGGGUAGUAAUAGUAAUGGCGAGAAUAGUAGUGAGAGGGUAGUAAUAGUAAUGGCGAGAAUAGUAGUGAGAGGGUAGUAAUAGUAAUGGCGAGAAUAGUAGUGAGAAGGUAGUAAUAGUCCUGGCGAGAAUAGUAGUGAGAAGGUAGUAAUAGUCCUGGCGAGAAUAGUAGUGAGAGGGUAGUAAUAGUAAUGGCGAGAAUAGUAGUGAGAAGGUAGUAAUAGUCCUGGCGAGAAUAGUAGUGAGAAGGUAGUAAUAGUCCUGGCGAGAAUAGUAGUGAGAGGGUAGUAAUAGUAAUGGCGAGAAUAGUAGUGAGAGGGUAGUAAUAGUAAUGGCGAGAAUAGUAGUGAGAGGGUAGUAAUAGUAAUGGUGAGAGUAGUAGUGAGAGGGUAGUAGUAGUGGUGGUGAGAAUAGUAGUGAGAAGGUAGUAAUAGUCCUGGCGAGAAUAGUAGUGAGAGGGUAGUAAUAGUAAUGGCGAGAAUAGUAGUGAGAGGGUAGUAAUAGUAAUGGCGAGAAUAGUAGUGAGAGGGUAGUAAUAGUCCUGGCGAGAAUAGUAGUGAGAAGGUAGUAAUAGUAAUGGCGAGAAUAGUAGUGAGAGGGUAGUAAUAGUAAUGGCGAGAAUAGUAGUGAGAGGGUAGUAAUAGUAAUGGCGAGAAUAGUAGUGAGAGGGUAGUAAUAGUAAUGGCGAGAAUAGUAGUGAGAGGGUAGUAAUAGUAAUGGCGAGAAUAGUAGUGAGAGGGUAGUAAUAGUAAUGGCGAGAAUAGUAGUGAGAAGGUAGUAAUAGUAAUGGUGAGAGUAGUAGUGAGAAGGUAGUAAUAGUAAUGGUGAGGGUAGUAGUAGUGGUGGUGGUGGUAGUAGUGGUGGUAGUUAUAGCAACAGUAUAACAAUAAUCAAUAGGAAUAACAACAAUAAUAGCCAGUGAUUUAGGAUUUUUAAAUCAAACUUAGGAAGAUCAAAUAAGUUAACCUAAUAGAAAGUGUUUUCCAAACCUCAAAGCAUUAUGCAGAUGCUAUUAUCAUUAUUCGUGUUAUUUCAACACACUUUACAAUUAUGAUCUCAUUGGAUCUUCACAACAACCCUAGGAGGCAGGUG